rnacentral:rRNA from 1 species
GACGAACGCUGGCGGCGUGCUUAACACAUGCAAGUCGAACGGAAAGGCCCUGCUUUUGUGGGGUGCUCGAGUGGCGAACGGGUGAGUAACACGUGAGUAACCUGCCCUUGACUUUGGGAUAACUUCAGGAAACUGGGGCUAAUACCGGAUAGGAGCUCCUGCUGCAUGGGGUGGUUUGGAAAGUGUCGGCUGUGGUGGAUGGACUCGCGGCUUAUCAGCUUGUUUGUCGGGUAGUUGCUUACCAAGGCUUUGACGGGUAGCCGGCCUGGGAGGGUGACCGGCCACAUUGGGACUGAGAUACGGACCAGACUCCUACGGGAGGCAGUAGUGGAGAAUAUUGCAGAAUGGGCGGACGCCUGAUGCAGCAACGCCGCGUGCGGGAUGACGGCCUUCGGGUUGUAAACCGCUUUCGAAUGUGACGAAGCGUGCGUGACGGUAAUGGGUCAAGAAGCACCGGCUAACUACGUG